UUGGACAUAUCAUACGUUCCGGUGAUUGUCUUAGAGAGAGAUAUGGCUUCUGUUGGAGCUAAAAGAGGUAGGGAUGAUGUGGAUCGUAAUCCGAAGAAAACGGUGAAAGGAACUUCUGCUGUACACCGUCCGACUAGUAAGGCUUCUGUCGGAGCUAAAAGACUCACUGAUGAACAAGUUAAUGAGUAUUAUAGACAGUCAUUCAGCAGUCAGAAUGCCUGAAGGAAUUGGACCCUAUGCGCUGUUUAAUAAGCAUCGUCAGAAACUUGUGAAGGAUAUGAUUCAGCGAUGCUUGCAAUUCUACAAUGACCAAAAAGUUGUGUCUAUGAUGGUUUUUGCUUUAUUGUGUUUUAUUUAUGUCUAUAAUCUCAUUCACUAAUGAUUAUUUUUAUUGUUGUUAUUACUAUCUAGAAGGUGCAUAGUGAGCCUCGUAAGAUUGUCAAGGUUAAUGUCCAAUGUGUUGCCGGUGCUCCCCAUGUUACCGGCCUAAUGUAUACAUUACUUUUAUUGCACACAUUCGUCUCUGUGGUGCAGUGACAUUUCGUGGCAAAAUAUUGAAAAAAGUUAUCUCCCGAUGUCGUUGCUUGGAUGGUAUCCGCAAAAGCCAUCAUUGAGGAAAAUAAGACCUCCACCUGGAUUUUGCCCUACCCAUAGCCAGAGGGAUCUCUUCUUGCAACAUGGAUGCUUUGUUGACGGUAGAUUUAAGUAAUGUAACUAAUUCUUGGUAUGAAUAUGAAAUGUGGGAAGAAUUUUCAUUUUCUUUGAGUAACUAGUGUGAGAAAAUGAAAGGUAGUAAAUGUAUCACAAUUUGUAUUAUUUUUAAGAGUAAAGUAUAUUUUUUGUCCUUAAAGU